AUGCUGCCUGGAACAGGAACAUUCCGUAGCUCGAGCAUCACUGCUUCAUGGAGGGAGCAGGCGGGCUGGUGUCCCCCGUUCCUUCAGGAGGAUGUGUUCUGAGUGGGAGCAGCUUCCUGCACUGAGGGAGCAGUGUUUCAUACUGAAUGAGUGUCUUCCAGCGUUUGGUGGCACUUCUGACAGCAGUAGAGGAGAUGGGGCAUGCUUGGCAGAUCCCUGGAGAAUCUUGUGUGCACACAUCAAUCUGGCAUCUCCAGCUGCCAGAAGCCCUGCUGCCUUGUCCUUUACUGAGAACCCCUGGGGAGGUCUCGGGAGCCUGUGGAAG